GAACCCUCUCCCUUCUCUCUCCCCGACCCUCUCUUCCUCUCCGACCUCUUCACCUUCUUCCGGCCAUAAUUCCUCCAUCCGGCGACGGAUUUUGACGUAUAAGAUGUCGUUGGAAAGCUCUCUUCCUAUUCUUCAUUUCUGGGUUCGUUUCGUAGCUUAAUAUGAACUGUGGAAGGUGCAGCAACGAGAAGAAGAGGACGGUCACUGUAGCAGUUUUGAGUCAACGCCGAUAUUUUCCGAUUCCGGCAGUCUCCGGCCACCAAACUGGCAUCGAAGGGUAAUGCUACGAGCUACGGUUAAAUGAAGGAACUCGUUUGCGUGGUCGCCCAAUAGUACUUUUGCAGGCGAAAUUAGUUGAGGUCGGGCGUACAUGGAGUCGAGGCAUAGCCAACAGCAUUGCUUCCGCAUACUCAUUCUAUUUCUGUUUUCUUUGUUACCUAGUGGAUUAGUAUUGCUCUGAUAACCUAUGGGAUUAAUAUUGUUUUUGGGUUGAGACUGAUAUUUGUGAAAUUGGAGUUGUGAUUUGGGGAGCAGAUGGCUCCAGAAGAUUAAGGAUGGAUGAUUUAGAAGUGUAAAUGUUUUCCUACAGGUUUUGGGUAGCCUACUUUUAGGGGAAGUUCCGCUAAAUUUUUGGUAGAAUCUCUUCUAAAGUGGGCCCCGCAGGGCCACUUCGGAUUUCAGGGUGAAAUCUGGGGCGGGUCCUGUCUGUGGAUGACAAUUCAGCUAGUGACAUGUAUCCUUGAAAAGACAAAAGCGUUGAUUCGAUCUUAAUAUAAACUCUAAACGCGAAAGAUUGUAAUUUUACUAUUAGUCAUGAUGAUGAAGGAACAUUUCAAUGUAAUGCAGUAUUAACUUUGUUAAAAGAAAU